rnacentral:rRNA from 1 species
GACGAACGCUGGCGGCGUGCUUAACACAUGCAAGUCGAACGGAAAGGCCCUGCUUUUGUGGGGUGCUCGAGUGGCGAACGGGUGAGUAACACGUGAGUAACCUGCCCUUGACUUUGGGAUAACUUCAGGAAACUGGGGCUAAUACCGGAUAGGAGCUCCUGCUGCAUGGUGGGGGUUGGAAAGUUUCGGCGGUUGGGGAUGGACUCGCGGCUUAUCAGCUUGUUGGUUGGGUAGUGGCUUACCAAGGCUUUGACGGGUAGCCGGCCUGAGAGGGUGACCGGCCACAUUGGGACUGAGAUACGGCCCAGACUCCUACGGGAGGCAGCAGUGGGGAAUAUUGCACAAUGGGCGGAAGCAUGAUGCAGCAACGCCGCGUGCGGGAUGACGGCCUUCGGGUUGUAAACCGCUUUCGCCUGUGACGAAGCGUGAGUGACGGUAAUGGGUAAAGAAGCACCGGCUAACUACGUG